AUUGAACGCUGGCGGCAUGCCUAACACAUGCAAGUCGAGCGAAUGAAGGGAGCUUUCUCCUGGAUCCAGCUGCGGACGGUUGAGUAAUGCCUAUGAAUCUGCCUUAUAUUGGGGAAUGGCGUCCUGAAACGGGCUCUAAUACUGCAUCCGUCCUUAUGUAGAAAUUGGGUGAUCUUCGGUCCUCACGCUAUCUGAUUAGCCUAGGUCGGAUUAGCUGGUUGGAUUGGUAAAUGCCUAACAAGGCGACUAUCCGUAACUGGUAUGAGAGGAUGAUCAGUCAGACUGGAACUGAGACACGGUAGCGACUCCUACGGGAGGAAGCAGUGGGGACUAUUGGACGAUGGGCGAAAGCGUGAUCCAGCAAUGCAGCGUGAGUGCAGAAGGUCUUCGGAUUGUAAAGCAAUGUAAGUUGGGAGGAAGGAAAGUAAGUUAAUCCCUUGCUGUUUUGACGGUACCAACAGAAUAAGCACCGGCUAACUUCGUG
rnacentral:rRNA from 1 species